GAGAUACUCUGUGGAUGGCGCA
rnacentral:piRNA from 1 species